GGCUAAGCUAAGCUCCCAUGUUAUUGCGCUAUUCAUUGUUGUAGCUUUGGUGUAUGCGUUUGUUCCUGUAUUUUCUGUCAAAGAAGCUGAAACAAAAUCAUUAUGGAACACUUGUCUAGUUAAAAUCACUCCUAAAUGUGCAUUAAAUAUAAUUUAUGUUGUUUUUGGAAAUGGAACCCUCAUUGAGUCUUGUUGCCACGACCUUGUCCAAGAAGGAAAAAUGUGCCAUGAUAAUCUCAUUAAAUAUAUUGCUGAUAGACGAAGUUUAAUUGGCCGUGAAGCACAAUACUUGAAGAAGAGGGAUGACGUGUGGAGUCACUGUGUCUCAAUUUCUAAAACUGCUUAAAAUAUGUGUGUUUUUAAUACUAUUUUGAUCGAAUAUAUUUAUAUUUUGUCUUUGUUACAUUUUCGUUAUCAUAAAUUUAUUUUUAUGUACUAAAUUUAAUAA
rnacentral:sRNA from 1 species